UUUCCAUAUGAUAGCAAAAAAAACAUAUAUUUAACAAAAAGCAGUGUACAAAAUUCUAUAUAUGGAAUGAGCACAACUGUGUUAAAAGAAUAAAUCUUUGCCUAUAAAAAGACUGGAAGGAAACACUUUAAUAUUUGGGUGUUGGAACUUUGGCUAAUUUUUUGUUUCUACUUUUAUUUUUAUAAUAAGCAUCCAUUGUUUAUAUCAUCUUUAAAAAGCAUUUUGAAAUGAAGACUUCUGAGGCCAAGAAUAUGGACUUCCCGGAGGCCACUUGCGUGCAUCACUUCCAAGAAGGCUAUUCAGUAAUUCACCGGAUGGCCCAGCUGAGUGAAGGUCAAAAUCCUCCUGGUGGCCACACCACAUCAGCAAUUCCUUGCGCACGUGGUUCUUCUUUCUGGUUUCUCCUGACGGUUCCAGAGUCUUCAAGAAGGACCGUGGGCCAGUCUGGCAGGGCCUCACGGAAUCAGACCAUCAGACGUGUGUGUUUCAAGGGCUCAGCCUACUGUACUCUUUGAUCACUUAGAAAAAGCAUAAAAAGUAGGAGUCAUGUCCUAACCAGGACAUACACCCAGUGGCCUCCCAGUCAAGCCCAUCCUGACAGGGCACCAGGCGCAUUGGAUCCCGGGGUGGGGGGAGGGGUGGGGGGAGGGGGGAAGCACUGCUUUAGCUGCCCCUGGUGUUCAGCACUCCCCCCACCACCACCACCCCUAGCUCUUCGGCUGCCAUCCAGCUCCACUAUUGUGCUUCAAGAUCAGGUCUUAGGAAAUGGAUGCAUUCUAAAAAAUCCCUGCAAACCAAAAAGUACAAAGAAAUCAUUUGGCUCAUGCCCUGACGCUUGUCACCUAGGUACCACAUGACCAGAAAGGGACCAGCCCUGGGGUAAUAUCAUGGUCCCGGAUUAGCAGCUUUGCAUGAACCUGAACAGAGAAUUGCAACCCGAGGACCCAGCACUUGUAAGCAGAAGCAGAGAGCAGUCAGGUGGCUUAUCCAGCUGAGCGGUAGACACAGCCCAGUGCUAGCAGCUCCUGGGGGCUUGCCCCAGCCUGAGUCCCGGGGUGUGGGCCCAGAGCUGAGCUCACCUUGCAGGCCAACCCAACCCCGCCCCCUCCCCCCCUCAGCUGCUGUCCCCGCUCUUCAUCCUCUGCUGUUUAUCCCCUCACAGGCCCGCUGAUCUUCAGAGCUCUGCUGUUGAAGCCCGGUGACUCAUUCCUCACUCAAGGUAUUUUGGGUUUGUUACUUCUCAGCCGCUUCACCAAGAACCACAUGGAGCCAAAACAGAGAAGGGAGGAAAUGGGGGUGCAGAUGGGAGGGGUGGGGCAGGAAUCCAAAGUGGCUGUGGAAAAAUUCGGCUGAGGUGCCGUGGUUGAAGCUUGGCCCCGGGGGAGCGAGGCUCUUCCAAAAGCAACAACAGGAAGGAAAGCGUGCUUUGAUUACAACUUCAUUGACAGGCCUGCGCGCACCAUGGUUCUCCUGCAACUGAGCCGGCGUGGUCAGGCGUCCAAAAGAAUGGGCACUGCUCUUUGGGAAUAUUUACGAGCAACCGCACCCAAAGUAUGUGGACUCGGCCAGUGCAAGGUGGAAGGGACAGCCAGACGCUACCUGCAAAAUAGAGUGCAAAUCCUCUGCCCUAAAGGGCUAUCUCCUGGUCCCUGAUACCCAUGUGCCGCUGGCUCAAUGAUGUGGGCUUGCUUGUGGACGGUAUCCAGUGUGCAGCUGCGGCUGUCCUGAGCAGAGGGCCGCUGCCUACGUUGUGAACAAUGGAAAAAAUCACAUGGACAGGACCGCCAGAAGAUUCACGAAUAUAUAUGUUUUAGAGACUUCCAGAAAAUUGUUGUUUAGAAAUUAAUUUUCCUUAAGUUGUCCCCGCCCUCCAAGCCUGUGCAGUACGUGACACUCCUGCCUGCACCAAAAGCUGCUCGGGUCCUCAUUCUGAUAUCUUUAGGAAGAGUAUUGAAUUGCCAUUUGUGACAUUUACUAUCCAUUGCUAGUUCAGGGCUUGCAAGAUCAGCAUGCUGAGAGUAUUCAUUCCUUUUUAAUUAUGCAUUUUUUACUUCAACAAAUAUUUCCUAAAGGCUUAAUGUUGGAGGCAGUCCUUGAGGUCCAGGCCUCUGAUGAGCAUUUCCAGGACAGGACUAUGAACUCUAUGUGAGAGGAAGAAACUGAUGAGACUAGAGACAAGACUGUUUCAUGGAUUUCAUGACAAAUCUCAUGAUUAUUCAGUCUGAGCUGUUGAUUCCUUCUUAUGCAAAGCAUGAUAUGUUUCAAUGGUGGGUUGUACCACGGCCGCUCUAUGCAAACAGUCUUCCUGGAAACAGAAAUACAAAGAAGGUAUGUGAUAGAAGCUUUGUUUUAGGAUGGCAAAACCCAUCCACCUCAGCACAGAAGACAACAAAUUAGUGUCAUAUAGAUCACAUCCUCUGAAUUAUAAGGAAACUUACUCUUAAAAAAACCCUUACUUUGAUUUCCAUAAAUUAGGAAAUUUAAAAUGUUUUUAAAGAACAUUAGGAAUAACUAAUGGUUCAAAGAAAUAAAUACCUAUAUAAUCUUAUAUAUAAGAUUAAG
rnacentral:lncRNA from 12 species